AACGCGAAGAACCUUACCUGGGCUUGAACCGCACAGGACCAGCUUGAGAAAUCAGGCCUUCCCGCAAGGGACCUGUGUAGAGGUGCUGCAUGGCUGUCGUCAGCUCGUGCCGUGAGGUGUUGGGUUAAGUCCCGCAACGAGCGCAACCCUUACUCAUAGUUGCUACCCGCAAGGGAGAACUCUAUGAGGACUGCUCCGGAUAACGGAGAGGAAGGUGGGGAUGAGGUCAAGUCAGCAUGGCCUUUAUGUCCAGGGCUACACACGUGUUACAAUGCGCGCCACAAAGCGUCGCGAACCCGCGAGGGGGAGCUAAUCGCAAAAAAGCGCGCUCAGUUCGGAUUGCAGUCUGCAACUCGACUGCAUGAAGCCGGAAUCGCUAGUAAUGGCGCAUCAGAACGGCGCCGUGAAUACGUUCCCGGGCCUUGUACACACCGUAGAGAC
rnacentral:rRNA from 1 species